rnacentral:rRNA from 1 species
UGGGGGAUAUUGCACAAUGGGCGAAAGCCUGAUGCAGCGACGCCGCGUGGGGGAUGAAGGCUUUCGGGUUGUAAACCUCUUUCGCUAUCGAACAAGGCCUGCUUAGGGUGGGUUGAGGGUAGGCGGAGAAGAAGCGCCGGCCAACUACGUGCCAGCAGCCGCGGUAAUACGUAGGUCGCGAGCGUCGUCCGGAAUUAUUGGGCGUGAAGGGCUUGUAGGCGGCUUGUUGCGCCUGCUGUGAAAACGCGGGGCUUAACUUCGCGCGAGAAGUGGGUACGGGCAGGCUUGAGUGUGGUAGGGGUGGCUGGAAUUCCAGGUGUAGCGGUGGAAUGCGCAGAUAUCUGGAGGAAAACCGAUGGCGAAGGCAGGUCACUGGGCCAUUACUGACGCUGUGGAGCGAAAGCAUGGGUAGCGAACAGG